AGUUCGAACGGGCCUGUUGGGGCAACCUGGCAGUCAGUGGCGGACGGGUGAGUAAUGCAUCGGAACGUGUCCCAUAGUGGGGGAUAACCCGGCGAAAGCCGGACUAAUACCGCAUAAGCUCUAUGGAGGAAAGCGGGGGACCUGAAAGGGCCUCGUGCUUUGGGAGCGGCCGAUGUCCGAUUAGCUUGUUGGUGGGGUAAUGGCCUACCAAGGCGACGAUCGGUAGCUGGUCUGAGAGGAUGAUCAGCCACACUGGGACUGAGACACGGCCCAGACUCCUACGGGAGGCAGCAGUGGGGAAUUUUGGACAAUGGGGGCAACCCUGAUCCAGCCAUGCCGCGUGCGGGAAGAAGGCCUUCGGGUUGUAAACCGCUUUUAGUCGGGAAGAAAAGGCACGACUUAAUACGGCGUGUUCUUGACGGUACCGGCGGAAUAAGCACCGGCUAACUACGUGCCAGCAGCCGCGGUAAUACGUAGGGUGCGAGCGUUAAUCGGAAUUACUGGGCGUAAAGCGUGCGCAGGCGGUUCGCCGUGUCCUGUGUGAAAGCCCCGGGCUCAACCUGGGAAUGGCAUGGGAAACUGGCGGGCUGGAGUGUGGCAGANGGGGGUGGAAUUCCGCGUGUAGCAGUGAAAUGCGUAGAGAUGCGGAGGAACA
rnacentral:rRNA from 1 species